AGAGUUUGAUCCUGGCUCAGGACGAACGCUGGCGGCGUGCCUAAUACAUGCAAGUCGAGCGGACCGACGGGAGCUUGCUCCCUUAGGUCAGCGGCGGACGGGUGAGUAACACGUGGGUAACCUGCCUGUAAGACUGGGAUAACUCCGGGAAACCGGGGCUAAUACCGGAUGCUUGAUUGAACCGCAUGGUUCAAUCAUAAAAGGUGGCUUUUAGCUACCACUUGCAGAUGGACCCGCGGCGCAUUAGCUAGUUGGUGAGGUAACGGCUCACCAAGGCGACGAUGCGUAGCCGACCUGAGAGGGUGAUCGGCCACACUGGGACUGAGACACAGCCCAGACUCCUACGGGAGGCAGCAGUAGGGAAUCUUCCGCAAUGGACGAAAGUCUGACGGAGCAACGCCGCGUGAGUGAUGAAGGUUUUCGGAUCGUAAAACUCUGUUGUUAGGGAAGAACAAGUACCGUUCGAAUAGGGCGGUACCUUGACGGUACCUAACCAGAAAGCCACGGCUAACUACGUGCCAGCAGCCGCGGUAAUACGUAGGUGGCAAGCGUUGUCCGGAAUUAUUGGGCGUAAAGCGCGCGCAGGCGGUUUCUUAAGUCUGAUGUGAAAGCCCCCGGCUCAACCGGGGAGGGUCAUUGGAAACUGGGGAACUUGAGUGCAGAAGAGGAGAGUGGAAUUCCACGUGUAGCGGUGAAUGCGUAGAGAUGUGGAGGAACACCAGUGGCGAAGGCGACUCUCUGGUCUGUAACUGACGCUGAGGCGCGAAAGCGUGGGGAGCGAACAGGAUUAGAUACCCUGGUAGUCCACGCCGUAAACGAUGAGUGCUAAGUGUUAGAGGGUUUCCGCCCUUUAGUGCUGCAGCAAACGCAUUAAGCACUCCGCCUGGGGAGUACGGUCGCAAGACUGAAACUCAAAGGAAUUGACGGGGGCCCGCACAAGCGGUGGAGCAUGUGGUUUAAUUCGAAGCAACGCGAAGAACCUUACCAGGUCUUGACAUCCUCUGACAACCCUAGAGAUAGGGCUUCCCCUUCGGGGGCAGAGUGACAGGUGGUGCAUGGUUGUCGUCAGCUCGUGUCGUGAGAUGUUGGGUUAAGUCCCGCAACGAGCGCAACCCUUGAUCUUAGUUGCCAGCAUUCAGUUGGGCACUCUAAGGUGACUGCCGGUGACAAACCGGAGGAAGGUGGGGAUGACGUCAAAUCAUCAUGCCCCUUAUGACCUGGGCUACACACGUGCUACAAUGGGCAGAACAAAGGGCAGCGAAGCCGCGAGGCUAAGCCAAUCCCACAAAUCUGUUCUCAGUUCGGAUCGCAGUCUGCAACCCGACUGCGUGAAGCUGGAAUCGCUAGUAAUCGCGGAUCAGCAUGCCGCGGUGAAUACGUUCCCGGGCCUUGUACACACCGCCCGUCACACCACGAGAGUUUGUAACACCCGAAGUCGGUGAGGUAACCUUUUGGAGCCAGCCGCCGAAGGUGGGACAGAUGAUUGGGGUGAAGUCGUAACAAGGUAACC
rnacentral:rRNA from 1 species